GGCAUAUUCAUAAGUUCUACACUGUUUACAAGCCACGUUUGUUGUUGCCAUCAUAUUCCUUUAGUGUAAUAAUAUAAAGAAGCGAAAAGGAACUGCAGCACAUAACUGUAUCUAAAAUAGUGAAUUGGGACAAUAUACUCAAAAUGAGGUUCGCAAUGACUCUAUUGCUGGUGGGCGUGACAUUGGCGGUGACUUGGGCGGAGUCGAGUGAGAGUGACAGCAGCUGGGAGUAUUCAUUUGAAAGUGACGAGGGUCUAUGGGCGGAAAGUGACCAGAGUGCGAGCCUGGAGAAGGUCGAUCAUUUGUGCCUGUUAAAAGAAAUCACUAAUUUGAUCGGCUGUUUCAAGAAUGGUAUAAGCAUAAGUACUGUAAGGUGCGUGAUCGAAACGGUACCUGCAAUAGUGAAGUGUUUCUCAAAUGCAAGAAUAGCCCUGGAUUAUUAUGACGAUUUGUGGUCUUGGGCUGCGUCUUACGAGUCGCAGUGGCCGUACUACCUCGAGGACCUGUGGUCUCGGGACGAUAUUCUUCGAUCAUACAGCAAAUCGCCAUAAUUUAAUUAAUCACCCAGUAGUUUAUCAUCAAUGAAAACUUAACGGAUGUUUGUACUUAAAUAAAAUGAUUGGUCAAUAA